UUUUAUGAGAGUUUGAUCCUGGCUCAGGACGAACGCUGGCGGCGUGCCUAAUACAUGCAAGUCGAACGCUUCUUUCUCACCGAGUGCUUGCACUCACCGAGAAAGAG
rnacentral:rRNA from 1 species